AGAAGUGCAUAAGUACUGAGCUUCGCAAUAACAUGCAGCUACAUCUUCAUAUCAAUAGGGGAGCAGGCAGCAUUACACAAUCAUGCGUUAUUACAAUCAGCUGCCCAUUACAAUGCAUGCGCCGUGGUAUCUGUGGCUAGGAACUAUUGCCAUCUUCGCCUUACAACUUGACCUCAGUUUCGCCGAGGUACCUUCUUACCCGGAACUCAGACCUGACCUUGAGAAAUACCAAGAUGCCCGAAGGUGCGGGCUGAAGAACGAAGACUACCAGCUCGUGUACAGAAACUACCUAUAUGAUUCGAACUACGGCGGAACGUCAAGAUGCGUCAAGUUUCAUGCAAUUGAAGUUUUCGGAGACACCCACACGUCAGCGAAGUACUCCUGGAGCACAACCGGCUUUGGACGCCGAUACUUGCAUGGCCGACAAACUCUCGCUUCAACGCCAGGAUACUCGAUUAGAAAUCUGCACACUAUUACUUCUUACCA